AUCAUUUUUCAGACUUUUGGCUAACAUCAAGUAUAGUACCUAUUCUUACCAGUUUCAUAUCUGAUACAUCAUCUAUCUGAGGACAAUGUAUUAAAUGGAUUUUUGGAGCAGGGAGAUGGAAUAGGAGCUUGCUCCAUCACUCCACACACUGACCUGGUACUGCAGUACCUCCAGGAAUGGUGCACUACUA